GGUCUUAUGGUCUAGUGGUAGUAAGUCACCUCAACAUCAUUCCUUCCGCAUCAUCAUCUAAUACCCUAUCAGUGAUUCUCGCUUAGGGUUCCUAAGCACGCUUGCGAGAGGCCCCGCGUUCGAAUCGCGGUAAGACCC